UAAGCGUAUAAACUUAAACGUAUCUUAUCUUCUCAAAAAAAUGCGUUUAUUAAACGUUGAAAAUAAGUACGCAAAUAAUCACUGUAAAAACGUCGCAAAGGUAAUGGUUUAUCAACAUUAGACAUUAGCUGCUCUUUCGUUUUCUGCUCUGAAAAAACAACACUUAUUCAACGUUAUUUCAACGUUGGUUGAAAAUGUGGUAAUUAAAAGACGUUGAAAAAGUGUUACUUUGCCAACGUUAAUAAAACGUUGUUUUGAGGAAAUGGCAUAUUGAAAAUUAUUGUCUCAAUAACUAGCCAUUACAAAAAAAAUUUGCCGUAAUGGAAAGGCAAGGAGAACUUGAUAGAAUGCAUGCAUAUGAUAAAGAAGUAUGUGCAGGAUUUAAUUUCACAACUAAAGAGGACUCCAAAGAAGAAUUAUGUUUGUGAAUAAUUUUGUUUCUCUUCGGAUUUAACUUUUCUUUGUUUUGUAUAUAGUAAAGAAUGAAAAAAAAUCAAAUAUUAACUAUUGGUCAAAGCUGAUUUCAAUAAUACUGUCUAAAUUUUUUGACUUGUGGUAGUUUGAUUACCAGCAUAAAUUUAUUUAGUAAAGUUCUGGUGGAUCAAAGAUUGAGGAAUGAUUUGGUUUUAACUGGUUUGCAUUUAUGAGCGAAGUAAAUAAUAUGAUUUAAAUUGAUGAUUUAGAGUUACACCUAUUGAAAUUCUGUAUCUCAAUGAUAUCCUGGCUUAUCGAUACGAUAUCCUGUAAAUCCACUCACACACAAAUUUUACUCACACACGAAAAUCCUGUAAAUUCACUCACACACAUAAAUCUUAAAAAAGAUGUUUAUAUUUUUAUUUAUAAAUUGUAAAUUUUACAUAAAUAAAUUG